CUUAACAGGGCGACUUGAGUCCCGCGCCGCGGACGCGAAGCCGGGUGAGCUAUCCGUGGGCAGGCUGAAGCGGGGGUAAGACCCCGUGGAGGGCCGAACGCACGUCGGUUGAAAACGGCGGCGAUGACCUGCGGAUAGGGGUGAAAGGCCAAUCAAACCCGGAGAUAUCUCGUUCUCCCCGAAAUAGCUUUAGGGCUAGCGUCGCGCGUUCACCGCCGGAGGUAGAGCACCGGAUGGACGAGGGGGCUUCGCCGCCUACCGAAUCCAACCGAACUCCGAAUGCCGGCGGCCCAGAGCGCGGCAGUCAGAGCAUGUGGGCUAAGCUGUGUGCUCGAGAGGGAAACAGCCCGGACCGCCCGCUAAGGUCCCCAAGUUCCAGCCGAGUGGCAAAGGAUGUGCGUCCGCCCAGACAACCAGGAUGUUGGCUUAGAAGCAGCCAUCCAUUCAAAGAGUGCGUAACAGCUCACUGGUCGAGUGGACAUGCGCCGACAAUACACGGGGCUAAGCUGGACACCGAAGCGGCGGGAUUUUAAUUCAUUAGAAUCGGUAGGGGAGCUUCCCAUGGGCGGAGAAGCCGGAGGGCGACCGACGGUGGAGCGCAUGGGAGUGAGAAUGCUGGCAUGAGUAGCGAGAGACGAGAGAGUAACUCGUCCGCCGUGAACCCGAGGUUUCCUGGGCAAGGCUAAUCCUCCCAGGGUCAGUCGGGGGCUAAGGCGAGGCCGGGAGGCGUAGCCGACGCGCAGCAGGCAGACAUUCCUGCACCGCGCACGCGGCGCUACGACCGACGGGGCGACGGAUGGGGGUGGCUCGGCGGGGUUCUGGACGUCCCCGUGAUGGAGCGCGGCCCGCGGACUAGGGAAAUCCGGUCCGCAUUGAGGGCGAGGCUCCGGACGAAGCGAUUGAGCGAAGCGAGUGAGCCCGAGGUCCCUAGAAAAACCCCUAGGCAGGCGCGUGCGCGCCCGUACCGCAAACCGACACAGGUGGGUGGGUAGAACAUACCGAGGCGAUCGGGUCAACCAUGGUCAAGGAACUCGGCACAAUGGCCCCGUAACUUCGGGAGAAGGGGUGCCCGCGCGUACGUGAACGGACUUGCUCCGGGAGCGGAGGCGGGCCGCAGUGGAGAGGCCCAAGCGACUGUUUACCAAAAACACAGGACUCUGCAGAAGCCGCAAGGCGACGUAUAGGGUCUGACGCCUGCCCGGUGCCGGAAGGUCACGCGGAGGAGUUAGCGCAUCGCGCGAAGCCCCGAAGCCAAGCCCCGGUAAACGGCGGCCGUAACUAUAACGGUCCUAAGGUAGCGAAAUUCCUUGUCGGGUAAGUUCCGACCUGCACGAAAGGCGCAACGACUUGGGCGCUGUCUCGACCAUGGACCCGGUGAAAUUGCACUGGUCGUGAAGAUGCGACUUACCCGCGGAAGGACGGAAAGACCCCGUGAACCUUCACUGCAGCUUGGCAUUGGCCGCUGGUCCCGCGUGUAGAGGAUAGGCAGGAGGCAUAGAUCCGGAGGCGCCAGC
rnacentral:rRNA from 1 species